GACGGAAGGUGCAAGCGUUGCUCGGAAUCACUGGGCGUAAAGGGUGCGUAGGCGGCCGUGCAAGUCUGGCGUGAAAGCCCCGGGCUCAGCCCGGGAAGUGCGCUCGAAACUGCGCGGCUCGAGUGCCGGAGGGGAGAGUGGAAUUCCUGGGUGUAGCGGUGAAAUGCGUAGAUAUCAGGAGGAACACCAGUGGCGAAGGCGGCAUCCUGGCCCUGUCCUGACGCUCAGGGGCGAAAGCGUGGGGAGCAACCGG
rnacentral:rRNA from 1 species